rnacentral:lncRNA from 1 species
UGCUUGGGAAGCUCAUCAGCAGGUCCAUUUUCUGAGUGCUUGUCAACUCCAUGGCCCCUGGGAAGGUCUGAGACCUGGACUUCCCGCCCCCCCCCCAGGAAUGGGGAGAUGAGGUCCCAAAAAGCAGGGCUCCACGUGUGGGCAGACUGGGCAGAAGAAACCCCAAGUGGGCAGAUUCCCCCAUUCUCCGGAGCUUGGAACAGACUCAUGGCCAGCACAGAGCAAGCUCUUAUUUCUUAAUUA